UGGGGAAUUGUUCGCAAUGGGCGCAAGCCUGACGACGCAACGCCGCGUGGAGGAUGAAGAUUUUCGGAUCGUAAACUCCUGUCGAAUGGGACGAACAGAUCUCGGGUGAACAAUCCGAGGUCCUGACGGUACCGUUAAAGGAAACCCCGGCUAACUCCGUGCCAGCAGCCGCGGUAAUACGGGGGGGGUAAGCGUUGUUCGGAAUUACUGGGCGUAAAGGGCUCGUAGGCGGCCAACUAAGUCAGACGUGAAAUCCCUCAGCUUAACUGGGGAACUGCGUCUGAUACUGGAUGGCUUGGAUUCGGGAGAGGAAUGCGGAAUUCCAGGUGUAGCGGUGAAAUGCGUAGAUAUCUGGAGGAACACCGGUGGCGAAGGCGGCAUUCUGGACCGACAUUGACGCUGAGGAGCGAAAGCCAGGGGAGCAA
rnacentral:rRNA from 1 species